rnacentral:tRNA from 1 species
GGUUGUGGCUCAGUGGCAGAGCACUCACCUAACAAGUGUAAGGCCCUGGGUUUGAUCCUCAGCACCA